AUGUUCUCUGUAGCUCUGCUGCUGCUGCUGGCUGCUGGAUCCUGUGUAAACUGUGAGCAGCUGACACAGCCACCCUCUGUUAUACUGCAGCCAGGUCAGCGUCUGACCAUCACCUGUCAGGUCUCUUAUUCUCUUAGCUGGUGGACAGCUUGGAUCAGACAGCCUGCAGGGAAAGGACUGGAGUGGAUUGGGGUGAAAGAUACUGGGAGCUCUUACUAUAAAGAUUCACUAAAGAGCAAGUUAAGCAUUGACUUGGACACUUCAAGCAAGACAGUGACUCUAAAUGGACAGAACAUGCAGCCUGAAGACUCUGCUGUGUAUUACUGUGCCAGAGUCUCACAGUAA